UACGGAGGGUGCAAGCGUUAUCCGGAUUCACUGGGUUUAAAGGGUGUGUAGGCGGGUGUUUAAGUCAGUGGUGAAAUCUCCAGGCUCAACCUGGAAACUGCCAUUGAUACUAUUCAUCUUGAAUUCUGUUGAGGUGGGCGGAAUAUAUCAUGUAGCGGUGAAAUGCUUAGAUAUGAUAUAGAACACCGAUUGCGAAGGCAGCUCACUAAACAGCGAUUGACGCUGAGGCACGAAGCGUGGGGAUCAAACAGG
rnacentral:rRNA from 1 species